rnacentral:rRNA from 1 species
UUAGAGUUUGAUCAUGGCUCAGAUUGAACGCUGGCGGCAGGCCUAACACAUGCAAGUCGAGCGGCAGCACAAGGGAGUUUACUCCUGAGGUGGCGAGCGGCGGACGGGUGAGUAAUGCCUAGGGAUCUGCCCAGUCGAGGGGGAUAACAGUUGGAAACGACUGCUAAUACCGCAUACGCCCUACGGGGGGAAGAG